GACGAACGCUGGCGGCGUGCCUAAUACAUGCAAGUCGAGCGAAGUUUUUCUGGUGCUUGCACCGGAAAAACUUAGCGGCGAACGGGUGAGUAACACGUAAAGAACCUGCCUCAUAGACUGGGACAACUAUUGGAAACGAUAGCUAAUACCGGAUAACAGCAUUAACUGCAUGGUUGAUGUUUAAAAGUUGGUUUUGCUAACACUAUGAGAUGGCUUUGCGGUGCAUUAGCUAGUUGGUGGGGUAAAGGCCUACCAAGGCGACGAUGCAUAGCCGACCUGAGAGGGUGAUCGGCCACACUGGGACUGAGACACGGCCCAGACUCCUACGGGAGGCAGCAGUAGGGAAUCUUCCGCAAUGGGCGAAAGCCUGACGGAGCAACGCCGCGUGAGUGAAGAAGGAUUUCGGUUCGUAAAGCUCUGUUGUUAGGGAAGAAUGAUUGUGUAGUAACUAUACACAGUAGGGACGGUACCUAACCAGAAAGCCACGGCUAACUACGUGCCAGCAGCCGCGGUAAUACGUAGGUGGCAAGCGUUGUCCGGAAUUAUUGGGCGUAAAGCGCGCGCAGGUGGUUUAAUAAGUCUGAUGUGAAAGCCCACGGCUCAACCGUGGAGGGUCAUUGGAAACUGUUAAACUUGAGUGCAGGAGAGAAAAGUGGAAUUCCUAGUGUAGCGGUGAAAUGCGUAGAGAUUAGGAGGGACACCAGUGGCGAAGGCGGCUUUUUGGCCUGUAACUGACACUGAGGCGCGAAAGCGUGGGGAGCAAACAGG
rnacentral:rRNA from 1 species